CGAACCGUCCAAACGUUAUUCGGAAUUACUGGGCUUAAAGGGUAUGUAGGCGGCGCUGUUAGUCGGGUGUGAAAGCCCUCGGCUCAACCGAGGAAUUGCGCCCGAUACUGCAGUGCUUGAGGGAGACAGAGGUAAGCGGAACUGAUGGUGGAGCGGUGAAAUGCGUUGAUAUCAUCAGGAACACCGGUGGCGAAAGCGGCUUACUGGGUCUCUUCUGACGCUGAGAUACGAAAGCUAGGGGAGCGAAGGGGAUUAGAUACCCCCGUAGUCCUAGCUGUAAACGUUGAGCACUUGAUCGGGGACCCCCCCAUAGGUUCUCGGUCGUAGCGAAAGUGUUAAGUGCUCCGCCUGGGGAGUAUGGUCGCAAGGCUG
rnacentral:rRNA from 1 species